UACGUAGGCAGCAAGCGUUGUUCGGAAUUACUGGGCGUAAAGAGUGUGUAGGCGGUGUUCUAAGUUCGGUGUGAAAUCUCCCGGCUCAACUGGGAGGGUGCGCCGAAAACUGGGGAUGCUCGAGCGUGGGAGAGGAAAGCGGAAUUCCUGGUGUAGCGGUGAAAUGCGUAGAUAUCAGGAGGAACACCCAGCGGUGUAGACGGCUUUCUGGACCAUUGCUGACGCUGAGACACGAAAGCGUGGGUAGCAAACAGG
rnacentral:rRNA from 1 species